rnacentral:rRNA from 1 species
AUUGAACGCUGGCGGCAGGCCUAACACAUGCCAGUCGAACGGUAACAGGAAGCAGCUUGCUGCUUCGCUGACGAGUGGCGGACGGGUGAGUAAUGUCUGGGAAGCUGCCUGAUGGAGGGGGAUAACUACUGGAAACGGUAGCUAAUACCGCAUAAUGUCGCAAGACCAAAGAGGGGGACCUUCGGGCCUCUUGCCAUCGGAUGUGCCCAGAUGGGAUUAGCUUGUUGGUGGGGUAACGGCUCACCAAGGCGACGAUCCCUAGCUGGUCUGAGAGGAUGACCAGCCACACUGGGACUGAGACACGGUCCAGACUCCUACGGGAGGCAGCAGUGGGGAAUAUUGCACAAUGGGCGCAAGCCUGAUGCAGCCAUGCCGCGUGUAUGAAGAAGGCCUUCGGGUUGUAAAGUACUUUCAGCGGGGAGGAAGGGAGUAAAGUUAAUACCGUUGCUCAUUGACGUUACCCGCAGAAGAAGCACCGGCUAACUCCGUG